CACGCAUGGAGCAGCGAGUCCUUGUCAGCGCUGAUGGGGAUUUUCAGUUGAUGAUAAAGAGUGUUCGGGUCUCUGAAUAGAAGUAUUGGACAUGGGUAGUGUGUGCCUUUAAUAACAGGACGAACUAGGGUGUAGAGAGGGCUCGGCUUAGCAAUCAGGGUAAGGCCUUCGUGUUUGACAUCACGGAAAAGUUAGAUUCUUGCACUUUGGGUGAUGGAUGUUAGAAAUCAAUUAGUACAUUAAUUCAAGGAAUGUGUCCAACCCAAACAGUCGUGUCUCCUCUCUCUCUAUUGCCAACAGACACAUGUUUUCAGGGACGCCUCUGAAGAGACAUCUCUUCUUCACACCUCUUCCAGAUGUAUACAUACUUAAGAAAAGCAAUGGCAGGCGGCCGUGUCUUCCCAGUGGCCGCUACAUGCUCAGGCUAAUUAGCACUAAUCGUUGUGACCUAUAGCGAGUCAACCGGCCACUGCCUUGUUCUGUAUAGAUUGUUAUUUGAUCUUUUCUGUUUGUGAUUAAUCAAAGAUCCAAUUAUUGAUUGCUUUUUCCUGAAUGUCUUUGCACUGCACCUACAAAAAUUGCUUCAUCCAAGCAUGUGGGAAUGGUCAGAUGAAAGGAUUGCUGAAGCAUCAAUGGAACGAAAUUCAUGGAUCAAAGAGAAGAUCAAGAACACAUCGACCAGUCAUACAAAGGGAAGAAGAAGGUACCUUGUCAUUUUCUAAUUUCUCUUGCGCUGGUACUACCGGCUGGUGUUGUUCGUCGCCUCUCGCUCUUGCCGUCGGGCCUCGCCAGGCCGUGGCCGCGCUCGCCCGCGCCGUGGCCGGUAGCGCCAGACCGUAGCCGUCGCUUGCCGCGCUUGUCCGUGGCCGUCCCUGACCGCGCCUGCCCGUCUGCUCCGCCCAGCGCCUGCGCAGCGCCCUUCAUCCGCAUGAAUCCUCGGCACACAGCGACGCGCACGCCACACAGACAUCAUCCGAGGCCCUCGGUCUCAGGGCGGAUCCCACGGAGCAUGAGUUCCAGUGAAUGCGACGUCCUCCGGCACGGCACGAAAGUGACGCCGGCGGCGCCCUCCGGCGCGACGGCGGCCUCUGCGUACAAAGGGGAGCAGCCGAACGUAUCAGUUGAUUCGUAUCUUCUCAAACAGGAAGCGAUAACAAAUCUUAUCACUUUGUCUAUUUUGCAACUUAGUUCUCCAAAUUCAUCCGAAUUAUAUAUAAAUUCAUGAAAUACUCAUACAUCCCUCAAGUUUUUUGUCAUGUUUAAUCUCCCUCCCUUUUUUUAUACGCUAAUCGCGUAUAAGCUUCUGUAAUUUUGGGUCAGCCUUCGGGCUAUCAAACUUGGCGUUUCACUAGAUUACUGUAUUUUGUAAUCAAGCCAUCAGGCAUUAUACACUUUGGAUUUCAAUACAACAACAAGUUCUCUGUUUCUAUGCAGUCAAAUCAACCCUUUGUUAUUUUGUAUUGCAGCCUUGCAAGCCAUCAGGCUUAGUACGUAGUGGUGCUAGUUCAAUUGAAACCAUCAGGC
rnacentral:lncRNA from 1 species